GCGUUGGUGGUUCAGCGGUAGAAUUCUCGCCUGCCAUGCGGGAGGCUCGGGUUCGUUUCUCAGCCUAUGCA
rfam:Salmo salar isolate Sally breed double haploid chromosome ssa12, whole genome shotgun sequence.